GACGAACGCUGGCGGCGUGCUUAACACAUGCAAGUCGAACGGAAAGGCCCUUCGUUUUUCGCGUGCUCGUAUCGCGUGCGUGUUACGAGCAUGUUAUUCCCUUUCCUUUGACUUUAGCUUAGGUUCCUGAGACUGAUGCUAAUUCCGGCCAGGAGCUUCUGCGUCAUUGUUGGGGAGGUUAUGUUUCGGCGGUUGGGGAUGGGCUCGCGGCUUAUCAGCUUGUUGGUGGGGUAGUGGCUUACCAAGGCGUUUACGGGUAGCCGGCCUGAGAGGGUGACCGGCCACACUGGGACUGAGAUACGGCCCAGACUCCUACGGGAGGCAGCAGUGGGGAAUAUUGCACAAUGGGCGCAAGCCUGAUGCAGCAACGCCGCGUGAGGGAUGACGGCCUUCGGGUUGUAAACCGCUUUCGACAGUGACGAAGCGCAAGUGACGGUACAUGGAGAAGAAGCACCGGCUAACUACGUG
rnacentral:rRNA from 1 species